GUCCCUGUAGAGCAAUGGACAGCACGUUGAACUUCCAAUCCGAAGGUCAUGGGUUUGAACCCCACCUGGGAUG
rnacentral:tRNA from 1 species